GUUUGGAAGGCAACUGGCACCUCUAAUAACAGCCAGAAGCGAGCAGACAGCGGGGAGAGAGCCCAGCCAUGCUCGUGCGCUCCACAGGAGGUCACGCACAUUAUGCUUUCUGCCAGCGUGUGCCGUGCUGGAGUGCAGAGAUCUUGGCUGUGGCAGCUCCUUUCCUUGCAGCGUUGAUGGGGGACUCAAGGGCCUGACAUCCAGCUGAUCCCUGGGCCCUCAGUGUGAGUGUGGAGGCUUUAAGAGCAGCUGCCUCACAGUGUUUUAUUCUACCUUGCAAGUGCUUCAAUUGGGACAUGUUAUCCUGCAAAGCUCUUCGUCAUUUUAACACUUCUGCUUUAUCUGCACUUGUGUUCUUUUUGAAUAUAUUUGUGGUGUCUGGGUGUUACUGCUGGAACCUUUGUAUUUUUCUGAAUCUGAAGGUUACCAUUUAGACCUGUAAAUACAUCCCAUUUUCUCCAAUAUAUUUGUAAUGAUCAGUUUUAAAAGAUAUCACACUUAUCUUAAAAAUUACUGCAGAGCUGUUCUAAUACUGUGUACAAAAUUGGUGUAGAAUAUUCUUCUAUGGGUCUGGAGUACUUCAUAUUACUUGAAAAAGAUCUUGUUCUAUUUAAGUGAAUUUGAUGUUUUGUUGCCCAUUACCUUCCCAAGUACCUUUAUAUAAUGAUUUUACUUACAGAAUAGUUAAAAAAAUAUUAAAAAAAAUUUUUUUUCUAGUCCAGGCACGUUUACAAGUCUUAGUAGGAAAUUCAAUGGCAAAAGCUGAGUAAUAUCUAGAAUCUUUGUUUAGCAGCUGUAAUGCUACUCUGAAAAGGACUACACAGAUAAAGAGCUCCCUGCACCUGUCAAAACCUUUGUCGUAGUCAUCACCUUAUUUAUUUUACAGUAUUAUUCAAGUCCUUUGAAUUCAAUUCUUCUGCACAGGAGAGCUGUAUCUCAUCAUGCCAUGAGCUGAGUAGAGAAAUCUGAAAACAUCCAGCUGAAAUGCCAACAGAAGCAAUUUGCUAUUAUCCUUUGGGGUUAGGAGUUAAAUUCCUGUUGUUUUUAAUCUAAUGAACCUUUUGAGACCCUCCUGUGGCUCAGAUACUCCAGUUUAUCUUUUUUAAUAUUCUUUGUUUGUCAAACAGAGAUUAAAUACCUCGGUAAUGUUUAAUAAUGAAGUCUCAUAUCUAAAACUAUACUGGAAUGAUCUUUGUAUUCAGAUGUGUGGAAUUUGUCUAAGAAGCCAGUCAGAAAGAAAAGUUUUGGCUUUUGAAAUCACAUUAGCAAAAGCACGGCACGGUGCAAUGGAUGGGAACGAGCUGAAGAAAUCCCCCUGUUUAUGCUGUGCAGCUUGAACUUGAUUAAAGCAAACCAAAAUAAAUCAAAACAAAAACACUGGGAACUUCCCCGUGGCUCCUCUUUCCUGAGCAAAACAAACCCUUCAGAUCCACAGCCGUGCUGGGAG